rnacentral:rRNA from 1 species
GACGAACGCUGGCGGCGUGCUUAACACAUGCAAGUCGAACGGAAAGGCCCCUUUGGGGGUACUCGAGUGGCGAACGGGUGAGUAACACGUGAGUAACCUGCCCUUGACUUCGGGAUAACUUCAGGAAACUGGGGCUAAUACCGGAUAGGAAUCCUUGCUGCAUGGUGGGGGUUGGAAAGCUUCGGCGGUUUUGGAUGGACUCGCGGCUUAUCAGCUUGUUGGUGGGGUAGUGGCUUACCAAGGCUUUGACGGGUAGCCGGCCUGAGAGGGCGACCGGCCACAUUGGGACUGGGAUACGGCCCAGACUCCUACGGGGGGCAGCAGGGGGGAAUAUUGCACAAUGGGCGGGAGCCUGAUGCAGCAACGCCGCGGGCGGGAGGACGGCCUUCGGGUUGGAAACCGCUUUCAGCAGGGGCGAAGCUUGUGGUGACGGUACCUGCAGAAGAAGCACCGGCUAACUACGUG